GAGUUUGAUCCUGGCUCAGGAUGAACGCUAGCGGCAGGCCUAACACAUGCAAGUCGAGGGGUAACAUAAAGUGCUUGCACUUUGAUGACGACCGGCGCACGGGUGAGUAACGCGUAUACAAUCUGCCUCAUACUAGGGGAUAGCCCAGAGAAAUUUGGAUUAAUACCCUAUAGUAUCAUUUAGAGUCGUCUCUUUAUGAUUAAAGGUUACGGUAUGAGAUGGGUAUGCGUUCUAUUAGUUAGUAGGUGAGGUAACGGCUCACCUAGACCACGAUAGAUAGGGGCCCUGAGAGGGGGAUCCCCCACACUGGUACUGAGACACGGACCAGACUCCUACGGGAGGCAGCAGUGAGGAAUAUUAGACAAUGGGCGAAAGCCUGAUCUAGCCAUGCCGCGUGCAGGAUGACGGCCCUAUGGGUUGUAAACUGCUUUUAUACAGGAAGAAAAAACUCUACGUGUAGAGUCUUGACGGUACUGUAAGAAUAAGGAUCGGCUAACUCCGUGCCAGCAGCCGCGGUAAUACGGAGGAUCCAAGCGUUAUCCGGAAUUAUUGGGUUUAGAGGGUCCGUAGGUGGACAAUUAAGUCAGAGGUGAAAUCCUGCAGCUCAACUGUAGAAUUGCCUUUGAAACUGGUUGUCUUGAGUCAUUAUGAAGUGGUUAGAAUGUGUAGUGUAGCGGUGAAAUGCAUAGAUAUUACACAGAAUACCAAUUGCGAAGGCAGAUCACUAAUAAUGUACUGACACUGAUGGACGAAAGCGUGGGUAGCGAACAGGAUUAGAUACCCUGGUAGUCCACGCCGUAAACGAUGGUCACUAGCUGUUCGGACUUCGGUCUGAGUGGCUAAGCGAAAGUGAUAAGUGACCCACCUGGGGAGUACGUUCGCAGGAAUGAAACUCAAAGGAAUUGACGGGGGCCCGCACAAGCGGUGGAGCAUGUGGUUUAAUUCGAUGAUACGCGAGGAACCUUACCGGGGCUUAAAUGUAGAGUGACAGGUCUAGAGAUAGAUUUUUCUUCGGACACUUUACAAGGUGCUGCAUGGUUGUCGUCAGCUCGUGCCGUGAGGUGUCAGGUUAAGUCCUAUAACGAGCGCAACCCCUGUUGUUAGUUGCCAGCGAGUAAUGUCGGGAACUCUAGCAAGACUGCCAGUGCAAACUGUGAGGAAGGUGGGGAUGACGUCAAAUCAUCACGGCCCUUACGUCCUGGGCUACACACGUGCUACAAUGGUAGGUACAGAGAGCAGCCAAUGCGUGAGCAUGAGCGAAUCUAUAAAACCUAUCUCAGUUCGGAUCGGAGUCUGCAACUCGACUCCGUGAAGCUGGAAUCGCUAGUAAUCGGAUAUCAGCCAUGAUCCGGUGAAUACGUUCCCGGGCCUUGUACACACCGCCCGUC
rnacentral:rRNA from 1 species